UGGGGAAUUCGCAGUGGACCCUGCAGGCAUUAGGAGAAAUGGAAAGAGUGAAAGUGGGGCGGAGAUGAAUGAAUAAUCAGAUUUGCUCUUUAGGAAGAUCCCUUCGUCUGCAGAGGGCAGAGGUAGGGGGACAACUUGGGGCUGUCGCAGCAGUGGUCCAGGUGGGAGACAGCAGGACUGGGGACACAUUUGAGACACUGCUUGUCUCAAGGAGAAGCUGAUGGUUAUAUGGGGACAGCACCACCACUGCCCCGGGCCACCGGGGCUCCUGCCCAGAGCCCAGAGCUUUAGAGGCUCUCGCAUAUCGCACACGCAUCCGUACCCACGCGGGCACACGUACAUGCAUGCACGCACAAAACUUAUUAAAUAACACGGAAGCACCUCUGUCCCUUGGGAUCUUGUGCCCUAAACAUCCUUCUUCACGACCGAUGCUCUUCAGGCCCCAGGGAAACCAUUCUUCCCUCUUACACCCUCUCCUUGCAUCGCAUGUGACAGCCCGAUGUCUGGUGAGUAGCGUGGAGAGAAAGGAAUGCUUUCUCUUACAGCGGGUAGAUGGAGAGCCACUCCCCAGGAGUGAGCGGUCCUCACUGUCACUCAGGGGACCCCUCGGAGAGGUGCCCUCCCCUCCCGAGAGCCUCUCCAAGUGGUUCCUCCAAGUGCACCCAGCGCUCCCCCGACACAGUGCGAUUUUCUCUGUCGUCUUACAUUUCAAGGAUGCUUCAGUACCUCCGUGGAUUGAGGGUCUGGCCAGCCCUCCCGACUGUGCCCCUCCAUCUGGCCCCGGGCACAACGUCGAGACAAGGUUGGCGGAAAAUAGAAAAGCGAUCAGGGUCACGCAGGAUGGUGGUGAAGUAUCGUCCUGGCUUGACCACCUGUGAGCCAUGUGACCCUGGGCAAGUUACUCAGCUUCCCUGUGUCUCAAUUUACCCCAUCUGUAAAACGGGGAUAUGGAUUGUGGCUAAUUGAGCAGGUUGUCAAGCGGACUAAAUCCGUUCACGUUUGUAAAGUGCUUGUUACACGAAACACACUUGUUUCUCAGAGUCCGCCGGCCCUACUAACCAUCACCGUCAGUGUAAUGUCAAGCUGGGCUAAGGAGAAAAGAAGACAGCCUCCUGCAUUACAGAAAUACUUCCAGGGUUGCAAGUUACAUGCCUCAUCUAAAGACAUCAAAAUACAAAAAAAAAAAAAAAAAAAGUCAAUAGUAGGCUCCAGAAAAUCGGGUACUUUCCCCAUCGGCUGGAUAAGGAAAACAAAGGACUCAGAGCGGUCAGGUGAAAGGUGAGGUUAGAUCAUCGGGGCAAUGCACCCGCUUGACAGGACUCAUCUCCGGAAAAGCCACUUGAUACGGGUUUCUCCCUCCAGGUCAGGGCUCAGCUCUGUGUCGGACGACUGGUUCGUGGUCUUCCAAGUGAACAGCCGCCGCGACUACAUCGGCAGAGCAAAAGAUCCUAAUUAGGACCUUUGUGUCUGGGCCGAGAAAACACUCGACAAGACUUGCUCAUGUUCAGACCAUGUGUUGUGAUCUUGGCCAACUUAUUAUUAUUUUUUUAAAGAUUUUAUUUAUUAAUUCAUGAGAAUACAUAGAGAGAGAGAGAGAGAGAGAGAGAGACAGGAGGAGGGAGAAGCAGGCUCCAUGCAGGGAGCCCGACGUGGGACUCGAUCCCGGGUCUCCAGGAUCACGCCCUGGGCCGAAGUCGGCGCUAAACCGCUGAGCCCCCCGGGCUGCCCUUGGCCAACUUAUGUAACCUCUUCAGACGUGGCUUCCCUGGUCUAACGAGCCGGUGCUGUGACAUGUGUCUCAAGAGGGUCGCCCACAAGAACGAAAGCGUACUGCGCUCAACCGGGCUCCUGCUCGUCCCAAGUGUGCAAGACUCCGUAGCUGAUAUUUAUGCGGAACCAUCCGACACCGCAUUCUUACGGAGCAGGUGGAUGUCAUUCAUACUCAGACGAGUCGCCCUGCUGCUAGAGAACAGCAGCUCCGUGUGCGGUAGCAAGCAGGAAAGGGCAUAGCACCCCCAUUUUGCAGAGGGAGCCACUGAGGCCCAGAGAGAAGGAACGACCCAGCCAAGGCCACGUCCCAGUCAGGAAGCUGGGACUGGAAUCCACCUGCCAGCCUGUCCCCUUCUUGCUCGCCCCCCCUCCUCCCAGCACGGGCGGCUGGUCACCAGGGGCAAGCGACGGUCCAUGGCCGUGGCUCGAGUCGCUGUGGACAGAGCAAACAUAGGAUUGGCCCCACCUGGGAAAUCCAGUCUGUCUGCUUCCUGACACUCGGUUGUGCAACAGGAGACAGGGAACCACAGCCGCUGCCGGCCCCCAGGAACUGCCUUUUCUGUUCCCCGAUAACUUCUUACCCUGCCCCUGCCGGGAAGGAGCUGGCCCGGCUUCAGAGGCCUCACUGGCCAGCUCCCGGGGCCCCUGGAAUGCCCACGGACAGUUGUGAGUGUCGCAGUUUUAACACGGCCAUCCUUCUCGUCCCCCAUCUUCCUGGCCCUCCCGUCCCCUCCGGCUCUUCAGAGCCUCGCGGGGGCUGCUGACACCUCUGGAGCUCUGACCGGCUCAGCCGCCACCCCCGGGACAGCCCUGCAGGGCCCCGCUGCAGCUCAGCCCGGCCCUGCUGUCCCCUGCCACCCGCAGCCUUGUCCUCUUCCCGGCCCAGGGCUCUGGCAUCAUAAUGAACGGCAAGUGUACUGUUCCCCAAACACAGAGGGCCACCUUUACUCCCCAGCCUGGGCGGGCGCUGGUCCCUCUCCUCUCCGUGUCCUUCCCCCCGCCACCGGCAACCCUUUAUUCAUCCUCUACCGGCCUCAGCGUGGGAUGGCUAAUUUUACGUGCCAAGUUAAUGGGGCCACGGGGCACCCGAGUACUUGGCCAAACAUUCCGGGCGUAUCUGUGCGGGUGUUUUUAGGAGACACCGGUUCUUCCUCGCUCUCCCGCCUGCGGGCCGUUACGUUAGAACGACGUUGUCGGCUCGCGUGGGCCGUGACUUGGCCAGCUCGGUCUGCAGAUCUUGGGACCUGCCAGCGAUCAAAGUCACGGAGAAGGGCAGAAAGGCUCGGGUUCACUCAAGGUCCCACGGUGGGAGGACCAAGCUGAGGGAGGAAGAACUCUGCACCGAGGGUCAGAAGAUACGGGUUCCAGGUCCAGCAGAUCCUCACCGGCUCCAAGGCAGGUGUCGCCAUGGCCUGUCUCAAGCAUCUUCCAGGUAAGGAGCAAACGCUCCUAUUUGUGGAAGCACCGUCCACAAGCCCCGCAAGAAGGAAACAACGCAAACGUCCGUCAGUGGGUGAAUGGAUAAUCAAAAUGCGUCCCGUCCGCACAGUAGGAUAUUACCGAGUCAUAAAAAGGAAUGAAGUACUGGACGGCUACAUACCGCAAGGACGAACCUUGCAAUCCCGCUACGGGAAAGAAGACAGUCACAGGAGGCCAUACAUCGUGAGCUUUCUAUGGUGGGGAGCACACGUUAAAUUGAACUUUCCCAUGUGCAAAACAGGAUCCCGUUUAUCUGAGAUAGGAUUCCUCGUCUGUGAAAUACCCGCAGUAGGCAGAGUCGGAAAUCCGGUUAGUGCUUUUCUGGGGCUUGGGCCGAGGGAAAUGGGGAGUGACUGCUUCACGGGUAUGGAGUUUCCUUUUGGGGUGAUGAGAAUGUUCUGGAACUAGGCAGUGGGGAUGGUUGCACAGGUUGUAGGUGGUGAGUGUACGAAAUGGUAAGUCUCAUGUGUGUGUGACUACGCUAAAAAAGAAAAAAGGAAUCGCUCAAGUUAACCUCAAUAUACCUCCUCCCUGUGGGUCAUGAGUUGAAUCGUGUGCCCCCCACCCCGAAAAGAUACGUCAAAGUCCUAAGCUUAUUACCCGUGAACGUGGCCUUACAUGGAAAUAGUCUUUGCAGAGGUAAUCAAGUUCAGAUGAGGGCCCCUGGGGGGCUCAGUGGUUGAGCGUCUGCCUUCGGCUCAAGGCCUGAUCCCAGGGUCCCGGGAUCGAGUCCCGC